rnacentral:misc_RNA from 1 species
GAUGAAGAACGCAGCGAAAUGCGAUAAGUAGUGUGAAUUGCAGAAUUCAGUGAAUCAUCGAAUCUUUGAACGCACAUUGCGCCCUUUGGUAUUCCUUAGGGCAUGCCUGUUCGAGCGUCAUUUAAACCUUCAAGCUCAGCUUGGUGUUGGGUGACUGUCCGCUUCACCGCGGACUCGCCUCAAAAUUAUUGGCGGCCGGUACAUUGGCUUCGAGCGCAGCAGAAACGCGAACUCGGGCCCGUCGUAUUGGCUCCCAGAAGCUAUCUUCACAAUUUUGACCUCGGAUCAGGUAGGGAUACCCGCUGAACUUAAGCAUAUCAAUAAGCGGA